UAGCAAUCAUAUUCGAAGCCCGCGAGACGAAAUUCGUCUGCGGCACCCACCCGUUGGCCGGGCGGGGGUGCACGAUGGCUUGGAAUGAUCCAACCAUUUUGCCCGCGUCCCGAGCCUGUGUGCCACACGUGCCCCAUCGCAAGCAGACUUGCUCUGACGCCGCAACUGUUGCCCAUGGCAUCAAAUGCAAGUGCGAGAAAGGCUGAUGGGUGCACUGGUCGGUUCUGGUCGCCAAAUAAAAUUCCUCAGGGAAAAGGAUUGGCAAGGGAUCCAAACCGACUGGGGUUGACAACCGCAGUCCCACUGGCAGGGAUCUGGACUGAUCUGCUGCUUGGUGCACUGCGUCAAUCUUCCCCGUGCCUCCAAUCAUCAGCAGUGAAUCUGUUAUUGGCGUCGAGACAUUGUAUGUCCGCGUCGCAAAUCUAGAAACACACUGUACAAUGGAUUUCUCGGCUCCCACAUCGAUGAAGAACGCAGCAAAGCGCGAUAGGUAAUGUGAAUUGCAGAAUACCGUGAAUCAUCGAAUUUUUGAACGCAUAUUGCGCCCGGGUUUGAGCCUGGGCAUGUCUGCCUCAGCGUCGAUUUCCUCCUGGCACCGCCGAUCUGGUCCUUGCAACACCGCGCACGUCGCAUGGACUGAAAUUCGAUCGCAGGCACAGCUUGGCCUAGAGCCAAGACGCUGCUUCGUGAAGCCGCAAGGUAUGUGUGACAUCGCAUUUGAUGGCCACGUACUAGACGGUCAUGGCACAGGCUCUCCUACCGCCGAUCUUCGGUGUCACGGGGAACUUCGCCUCAUGGAUGCAAUUUGGCGACAUGCCGAACUCUAUGGGAGCGGGGAUUUUCCUCGGCAUCUGUUGCAAGAGCGGUCGGUGUGGUUGCAGUCUGGUGCCGAUCACUGUCUCGACCUGAGUCA
rnacentral:sRNA from 1 species